UACGUAGGGGGCAAGCGUUGUCCGGAAUCAUUGGGCGUAAAGAGCGUGUAGGCGGCCCGAUAAGUCCGCUGUGAAAGUCCAGGGCUCAACCCUGGGAUGCCGGUGGAUACUGUCGGGCUCGAGUCCGGAAGAGGAGUGUGGAAUUCCUGGUGUAGCGGUGAAAUGCGCAGAUAUCAGGAGGAACACCGGUGGUGUGGACGGCUUUCUGGACCGUAACUGACGCUGAGACACGAAAGCGUGGGUAGCAAACAGG
rnacentral:rRNA from 1 species